UACGUAGGGGGCAAGCGUUUGUCCGGAUUUAUUGGGCGUAAAGAGCGUGUAGGCGGCCAGGUAGGUCCGUUGUGAAAACUCGAGGCUCAACCUCGAGACGUCGGCGGAAACCCUCUGGCUAGAGUCCGGAAGAGGAGAGUGGAAUUCCUGGUGUAGCGGUGAAAUGCGCAGAUAUCAGGAAGAACACCCGUGGCGAAGGCGGCUCUCUGGGACGGUACUGACGCUGAGACGCGAAAGCGUGGGGGAGCAAACAGG
rnacentral:rRNA from 1 species